GACGAACGCUGGCGGCGUGCCUAACACAUGCAAGUAGAACGCUGAAGGAGUAGCUUGCUUCUCUGGCUGAGUUGCGAACGGGUGAGUAACGCGUAGGUAACCUGCCUUGUAGCUGGGUAUAACUUUUGGAAACGAUAGCUAAUACCGCAUAAUAGUAGAUGUUGCAUGACAUUUGCUUAAAAGUUGCAAUUGCAUCACUACCAUAUGGACCUGCGUUGUAUUAGCUAGUUGGUGGGGUAACGGCUCACCAAGGCGGCGAUACAUAGCCGACCUGAGAGGGUGAUCGGCCACACUGGGACUGAGACAAGGCCCAGACGCCUACGGGAGGCAGCAGUAGGGAAAAUUCGGCAAUGGACGGAAGUCUGACCGAGCAACGCCGCGUGAGGGAAGAAGGUUUUCGGAUCGUAAAGCUCUGUUGUAAGAGAAGAAAGAGUGGGAGAGUGGAAAGUUCACACUGUGACGGUAUCUUACCAGAAAGGGACGGCUAACUACGUG
rnacentral:rRNA from 1 species